ensembl:lncRNA LINC01159 long intergenic non-protein coding RNA 1159
AGCCCGGGGGAACAGUCAGCGGGCUCUGCGUCCCGGGAGCUGGGGACACGCCUGCAAGGGCUUUCCGCCUGCACACAGUCAUUUGGAGAAAAUCAAGAGAGUUUUCAACCUUGGAAAUUGUGCAAUGUUCCAGCCGACUUAAUGGGCUUGCCUUAUGCGGAGAGGCAGUCCUGCAGGACAGAGCUAAUGUGUGGUCUCCCAGGAAGCUCAUCAGAACACCUCUUGUCCCUUUUCUUUAAAAGAAAAAAAAUUUAAAAAGUUUUUGCUUCCAUCUCAAUGUCCAUUCCAUUAUUUUGUAGCUACAAUAAAGAAACAUGGGCAGCAGUG